AUAGACGCAGGAAACAGAAGUGCUUUUUCAGAAGUAGAUGUUGUUGCUGAGCCUGGGACCAAUAGUGGACGCAGGGCAACAUAUGGAGUUGGGCAUUGGGAAGAAAACAAAAAAUUCGAGCAAAAAGAAAUAUUCAACACAACUACUAUAUACUUCUUACAAGAUGGUCUACAUCCUGACAAAAAGAUGAAACUUACGUUCACAAAAUCUACUAAUGGGUCAAAUUUCUUGCCUCGCAAAAUUGCUGAAACAUUACCCUUUUCCAGCAACAAGUUACCAGAAAUUUUGAACUAUUUUGCAAUAGAACCCACAUCAAAGGAAGCUCAAAUCUUGAAACACACAAUAGCAGAAUGUGAGGCACCAAGCAUCAGGGGAGAACACAAAUACUGUGCUACUUCAUUAAUCAUUAAUUGAUUUUGUCAUCGCAAAGUAUGGGAAAAAAGUUCAAGUGCUUUCAAACGAGGCAGAACAAGAGAAGAAGGAAAAAGGGUAUACAAUUUUUAAGGGAGUAAAAAUGAUGGGUGACAACCAAAUAGCGUGCCAAAAGGAAAUAUAUCCGUAUGCUGUAUUUUAUUGCCAUAGAACCAUGGACACAGGUUUAUAUGGUUCCAUUGAUGGGUGGUGACGGUUCCAAAGCUAAAGCAAUUGUUGUUUGCCACUUAAAUACAACAGCUUGGAAUCCAGAGCACUUUGCCUUCCAAGUCCUCAAAGUUAAGCCAGGACCACCAGUUUGUCAUUUCCUUGAUAGUGAUACUAUUGUUUGGG
rnacentral:misc_RNA from 1 species